AGUGCAUAACACGCAUUAUCCCGCUUAAUAGUCACAGAAGUCCCGUUGUGAUCCCCUUAGGAAGGUGAGAGGGUUGAGGCGAGGGGCGUGGCUUGUCAGGGGCGUGGCUUGCCUGGGGCGUGGCCUGCCAGAGGACGGGCAGCCGGCAGGGUGGAGGGACAGGUGGGAGUCACGCCAGCUCCAACCAGGUCUAGAACCCAAACCUUCAACCCCUGAGCUUUCCUGCCUUCGAGUCCUCGGAGCUCUCCUGGAGGCUGAGCAGGCAACAGAGCCUGCUCCUCAGCUGGAUGUGGCCCGUGGGAGGUGGAGAAACUGAGGCUCAGAUAAAUGACUAAGAAGUAAAGUGAGGUCCCAUAGCCAGUGAAUGGCAGAGCAGGGAUUCGAACCCAGGUCUCUCAUCUGGGAAGUGGGAUGAUAGCGCCAACCUAGCUGGAUUGCUGUGACUGCCAGCACAAUGCCUUCUAAGGGUUCAAGGCUGCCUUUCAGUGACAGGCUGCUGAGGACACCCUAGGCCAGGAGCCACCCCACCUGGCCCACCGAGGCUCUGGACCCUCCCAGGGCUAUUGCUUCUCUGGAGUUGGGUGAUGAACAGAGGGUUGGACCCCCCAAGCCCUGCAUGGGGGUAGAGGCCCUCCCUGAGAAGGACCUCCAGAGCCCAGCUCUGCUCUCCCAGGGUGUGGUUCCAUGGGAGGUGGGCUCCACUGGUCCUAAGCUCUGGGCAGGUUGGCAUCCCCAGAGGGCAAUGCUGACAACACCUCCCUUGGCACCCCCAAGGGUUCGUUUCUCAGCAGCAACUUCCAAAGGCUGUUCCCCCAGGUCUCUGUCCCUUUCCUGAGCCCUCCCCUGUCCUUCUCCAGGCAACCCACAGCCCCAGCAGCCUGUGCACAUUUAGCGCUGGAUCCCUGAUCCCUUGGGCUUGGCCUCACUCCUCUCUGGCUCCAUGCCCCCAGAUCUCUUUGGCAUGACCAACAACUGGCUGGCGAGCCCAGAGAUGGGGGAAGAAGGGCCCUGAGCCAUGAGUGCACCUCACUGCAUGGCCCUGGUCAGGUCCCUCUGCCUCCCGGGGCCUCACUGUGUCCACAGCCUCCUGCACGCCACGAAGCACCUCCCCGAUGUGCCAGCUCCCCCAGCACCAGCCUCAUCCCAAGGAAGGAGGAGGCGACUCCCACUACUCAAGGGGCUGUUCCCCAUGGCACCCCUCAGGCCGCUGCAGGAGACUAUAAGCCCCUCACAACCGAGGCCAUUUUCCCCACUCCCUUCCCCGCAAGCCCUAAAUGGCCCAGCAACAACUCUGAACUCUGAUCUCGGUCAGCCCAGCACGGGUGGGGCAGGAGGUUCUGUCAACAGCGAGAGAAACUCGUUAACUGAAUGUCAAUAGGAUUAAAGGCUCUGAUGGUCC
rnacentral:lncRNA from 10 species